GUAAGGCAAGAAGGGAGGUGAAAGGUCAAUUUCCCAGGAGGGCUUGCUUUUCGUCCCUGGGGAAUGCCUGUGGUACGGCGGCGUCUGUGCGUGGGUAGAGAUUUGGUGGUACCGUUUUAGUCUCGGGGGGCAAGGUAGAGUGGUUGUGUGCGAAUCAGUUCAGGAGUUCCUCAGAAAAGAGGACUUAGUCCUCCUAAGUCGUAAAAAGCAGAAAAAGCAUCUGUGCCCAGCCCGCUUCCAGCUCGUAGCGCAGUAUGCUGCACGCAGUGACUUAAUGACUGUGACUCGCUGUAGAGAAGCUGAACGGAGGGAACUUCCAUUCCCCAUAAGGAUAUAGUCUCUCUUUCCUCUCCCAUUUCCCCAAGCAAACAGUGACCUAUCUGAUGGCUAAGAAGUAGAGAAUAAGCUCUGAGACCUCCCUCUUCUGAAGUGGCAAGUCCUCCAGACCCACUCUCAGCUCCCCCAUCUCCACAAGGGAGACCUGGAGAUGCCCAGCUAUGCCAGUGACUGGAUAGAGCAUCUUCUCUCCAAGUGAUCUGUCCUUGCCUCUCCUAACUGGAAACUUCCGCUGCUCAGUGUCCACUCAGCAUGGAAGCAGCUCACCUCCACGCGUCUCAAUUC
ensembl:lncRNA